GGCUCAGAUGAAACGUGGAGGUCAUGCCUUACACAUGCAAGUCGAACGGUAACGCGGGGCAACCUGGCGACUAGUGGCGAACGGGUGAGUAAUAUAUCGGAACGUGCCCAAUAGUGGGGGAUAGCCCGGCGAAAGACCGGAUUAAUACCGCAUACGACCUCAGGGUGAAAGCGGGGGAUCGCAAGACCUCGCGCUGUUGGAGCGGCCGAUAUCAGAUUAGGUAGUUGGUGGGGUAAAGGCCUACCAAGCCAAUGAUCUGUAGCUGGUCUGAGAGGACGACCAGCCACACUGGGACUGAGACACGGCCCAGACUCCUACGGGAGGCAGCAGUGGGGAAUUUUGGACAAUGGGCGCAAGCCUGAUCCAGCCAUGCCGCGUGCGGGAAGAAGGCCUUCGGGUUGUAAACCGCUUUUGUCAGGGAAGAAAUUUUCUGGGCUAAUACCCUGGAAGGAUGACGGUACCUGAAGAAUAAGCACCGGCUAACUACGUGCCAGCAGCCGCGGUAAUACGUAGGGUGCGAGCGUUAAUCAGAAUUACUGGGCGUAAAGCGUGCGCAGGCGGUCUUGCAAGACAGGUGUGAAAUCCCCGGGCUUAACCUGGGAACUGCACUUGUGACUGCAAGGCUGGAGUACGGCAGAGGGGGAUGGAAUUCCGCGUGUAGCAGUGAAAUGUGUAUAUAUGGGGAGGAACACCGAUGGAGAAGGCAAUCCCCUGGGCCUGUACUGACGCUCAUGCACGAAAGCGUGGGGAGCAAACAGGAUUAGAUACCGUGGUAGUCCACGCCAUAAACGAUGUCAACUGGUUGUUGGACGGCUUGCUGUUCAGUAACGAAGCUAACGCGUGAAGUUGACCGCCUGG
rnacentral:rRNA from 1 species